GCCACACCCCUAAACAGCAAACAUGUGCAGAGGGACAGUAAAGGAAUGGAGCCAGGCUGGGCUUGGGUGCUGACGAAGCUGCAUUUGUACAUAUAACGGAGCAUCUGCUCUGCAUCCUGCAACUGGCAGUACUUUAGAACAACACAUGGCAAACACCCAGCAUCUGGAUAACAGCAGCACAAUGUAAGUCCUCUGAAAUGGGGAAAAGAAAUUUGGCUGUGCAUUAUUAAUGCUCAGUUUGACACUUAACUGAAAGCAUCGUGUGCAGUUUCAACCUGGCCCAGCAUCUGAAUAAAUGGCAUUAACAAGGGGAUCAUUUAAUAGCGUUUCAUUUUUUUUAAUCAUUUCAGUUUCAAAAUAAAUAAGGGUCUUUGUUUUUCUAGACCAAUAAGCAAAAUA